rnacentral:lncRNA from 1 species
CACAGAUUUGGUGGCAGGAGCAUCAUCAACCUGAACAAUGCAUCUCUGGCUUUCUAGUACACAGAACAGACUUGGUGUGUGAAUCCCAACAGGGACAAGGAGAAAGAGUGACAGCUGAUGUCAGAAAGAAGAAAGGCCAAGUGAGGACAUAUCCAAAAGAAGAUCAUCUGCAGAAACCAACAUUUCCAACACCUUAGUCAUACUUUACAGAUGUCAGGCCUGUAAGAGAUUUACUGUCUGUUGAAUAAAAC